ensembl:lncRNA
UAGAUUUAUUAUUAUUUGAGGCACUUAAUGUCUUACAUUUAUAUAGCGCCGAUUUCUCCUCCAAAACACUUUACAGUAUAUACAUACAGGAAUGUUUCCCACCACUGUUGAAAUGCAGCCAUCUGACUACUACCAGUACCAUCUUCAAAACACCAACCAUCUGAGACUGGAAAUAUCCAUCAGUACUUUGUCUUGCUAGUUCAGAAUUCCAAUGUACAAACUUCCAUCUUGUGCUAUUAAAAAGACGUAACAGCUAAAAUACAGUAUCACAGUGCAAUUCUGCAACAGAACUGAGACAUGGAGCAUUGCCAUUAGAUUUGUUACAAUCUUUCAUUAGAUCAAGUCUAUCUCAAAAUACUUUAAGGCCUUUUAAGAAUAUCGUUCUAAAACAUCAUUCUUGUUUAUACUUUCUUUAUAAGCCUCUCUUACAAUCAAGCGCGGAAGAAUGUUUUUCUUUCCUUCCAGUAUAUUCAGAAACACUUAGUCCUGGCCCUAAGGAGAUAUGAGCAUCCUCAGUUCCAGUGAACUUCACGGCAUCUAAAGGCAAACCUAUUCCUCCUUGCUCAUGGAGUUGGAUUUUUAAUUUGAUUUUAGUAUUUGAAAUUAAUCUGAGAUUACACACGAUUCUGUUAUUAACCAAUUGAAAUGUAAAGUACCUUGGGAUUGGCUGUUGGGGUGCUAUGGAAGUGAGCUGUGUGGGGGUUUGCUUGCCAGUGUCAAAAUACAUUAAAGAAUACCAAGUUCACUACUCCACUGCAAAGCCUGCCCUAGCCACAAAGUUAACAGCAACUUCUCAUUUUAGAGAUUUUUAACUUGUAUAUUUAAAAGGUUACUAAAAGAUCCCUUCCGAGAGAAGUUGCAUUUGUGCUGAGAACUUUCACAAAAAGAAACAAAACCAAACCCCCAAAACCCCACACAACAAACUAUCUGGCAUCCCUAUUGUCAUGGUUACCAUUAACAAAAGACUAUCACCUCACAUACAGCACGCUGCUACCUGCUACGUUAUGGCUGAUGUGAGAAUCUGAAGGAACAGAAAGAAAAUUAGUAAAAUGAGAUAUCUGUUUGCCUUCUUGUGGAUCAAGCAUGGAAAUUUACUCAGGUACCUUACUCUCUUGAAUACGUCACACCUCAGAGAGGCUUUUUUUGAUUUUCAUUGAUGCAUUAUACUAUGAAUCUACUGUGGUCACUAGAUUCUUGUACCAGUGUAGCUGUUUGCAUUUGAGUACUAUGAAAGAAUAAUAGCACUAACCAGAAUGGGCACGGACAAGGAUAAAAGGAAAAGUAUUAACAGGUAGUGAUUUCAACACAAAAGAUGAUGACUGAUCAAAUCUGGUAAAAACUGACAGACAGAAGUGCAUUCAAGUAUGUACCCAUUCUAUAAAAAACCGGGUUUGUUUUUAAUCUAAACCCUUGAUAAAAGAUGCACAGAGAACAGAUUUAUUGCAUAUUUUAUGCAUGCCUUCAUGUAGUGCAUUCCUACAUUGUAUCUGAUAUGGAACACUAAAAAACUACUAGACCUUCACUGAACAACACGUAUUGGUAAUUUGUGUUUUAAAGCCUGAACAGUGAUUCAGUUUGAGUUAUACCUUCCUCUUCCCCGAUCACAAAAAAAAACCAUCACCUUGCUGCAUUUAUGUUUGUCAAAGUCACAUGGCAACCACAAAAUAAUUUGUGUAGAGAAAACAGUUGCAGUAAACUAUUUAAAGAGUUGGGUUUCUACAAGGGGAUUUGGCAGCUGGAACAAGAAAACCAGCAGGGACUAGAGGUCCUUAGACAACAGGGAGAAUCACUGGUGAAUAAUUUGUAUCAGAAAUCAAGAAACCUCAUGAUGAAUAAGAGGAUAAAUAUGAAGGAUGAAAGCGUCAUUGUAGGCUUUACAGCCUAAAAGACCAAGCAAGUCCCAUUAUCACUUAGUUUCAAUCUCAGGUCUGAAAGGCAGCUAAAACCAUGAGGAGAUAUCUUCUUUGUUUUUUUUUGAAGAGGGCAAAGAGGAAUUUGGAAAAAGCACCUGCUGUAUUACAGGACUGAACACACAAAGGACAGACAAGAGUCUGCUAUUUCACAGAUUAACAUUCUUGAGUCCAUGCUAACCCCUUCUGAUUUCAAGAGAAGAAUGACUGGACCCACAUUCUCUUAUUCUCUUCUCUGUUUCUUCUUGUGGGAGCCAUUCAUUUCUUCAGAGCUGAAAAUAUGCACGAGAUUGUUUUAUACUAGAAGCGUGACUUUUCUUUCCUUUUCUUCCUGCUCAUUUCUUUCCUCCCUCAACUUCCUCUCAACUCUUCAUUACCCAAGUAUUUCUCUGACACAAAAAGUGCUGCUGGGGUAGGGGAUGGAUGAAUCUCUUGC